CAGUAGCCGCGGGAAUACGUAGGUGGCAAGCGUUGUCCGGAAUUAUUGGGCGUAAAGGGCUCGCAGGCGGUUUCUUAAGUCUGAUGUGAAAGCCCCCGGCUCAACCGGGGAGGGUCAUUGGAAACUGGGAAACUUGAGUGCAGAAGAGGAGAGUGGAAUUCCACGUGUAGCGGUGAAAUGCGUAGAGAUGUGGAGGAACACCAGUGGCGAAGGCGACUCUCUGGUCUGUAACUGACGCUGAGGAGCGAAAGCGUGGGGAGCGAACAGGAUUAGAUACCCGUGUAGUCCCUGUCUCUUAUAA
rnacentral:rRNA from 1 species